rnacentral:lncRNA from 7 species
GGAGGGAGUUAUGGAGAGCCUUUUGGGGUGCCACUUGGCAGGAAUCUGACAUUGGCCAUGACAAGGAAAUGAGCUCCAGGCAGGAAUCUGACAUUGGCCAUGACUGGGAUGUAAGCUCAGACAGGAAUCUGACAUCAGGGCAUGAUAAGGAAGACAGCUGUGGAGCUCAAGCGGCACCCAGUGUGACAGUGAAGCCACCACUGACCCGGAGAACCAAUGUCACAUGGACGGCCAACACUGCCUGUAGCCACUGCUAUACUGCGUGGACUCCAUCCGCUGACACCUGCCAUCAUUCACCACGUGGAUUGUCAGUGCUGCUGCAGGCCAUGGCUGCUGCGGCCACGACUGCUAUGAGACUCACAGACUUCUACCACCUCCUGUUGCAGGAUUACCAGCCACUGUCCACAGAAGACCAGCUGUCCACAGAGGAACCUGAUGCUAAUGUUUACCAAGUGGAUCCUGAUGGUGAAAGUCAGCUACACCCCAAAACUGACGACGCCCCAAGACAGCAGGAGGCAGCUUAAGAGACAGGAUGCCCUCAUUCUCUUUUCACCAUCAGCUUCCCCCUCCCUUUCCCCCCACUUCUCUUUAUAAUAACAAGAAGGGAGUUAUGUUGGUAUCAGGACCUCCAAAACCCGUGACAUCACAUGGGUGGGACCUGCAGUCCUGUUGCCAAGGUAACAAUCACCAUAUUCCAGAAUCUACUUGGCUUACCUCCCACCUUUACCUGUGAUAUGUCAUCACCCAUAUAUAACCCCUCCCAUCUCUCUCUUUCUCUUCCCCCCUUCUCUUUCUGCCACCACGUUGCCCCUCUCUCUCCUAAUAAACCUCUGACAGGUG